UACAGAGGGUGCGAGCGUUAAUCGGAAUUACUGGGCGUAAAGCGCACGUAGGUGGCGACGUAAGUCGGGUGUGAAAGCCCCGGGCUCAACCUGGGAAUUGCAUUCGAGACUGCAUUGCUGGAGUACGGAAGAGGAAGGCGGAAUUCCCGGUGUAGCGGUGAAAUGCGUAGAUAUCGUUUGGAACGCCAAUGGUGAAAACAGGUUGCUGGGAGUGUGCUGACGCUGAGACACGAAAGCCAGGGGAGCAAACAGG
rnacentral:rRNA from 1 species